CAACAGCAGAAAGGAGGUGGUCCAGUGUCUAGAGUGAUAUUGGAGAAGGGUCUUGGAACAGUCAGGGGGGCCGUGGUCUGAGGGCAAUCCCUGGGACUGAAAUCUUCUGAUUGGGCCCACGCUCUAACCGGGCCAUCUCCGUAGCUCUCGGGGCCGUUCGCAAGAACGGCCCU
rnacentral:sRNA from 1 species